AGCAAGUAGGCUGGAAAUUGACCACCGGUGGUGGAAGGUCUGGUGAAGAAGAGGAGGAGGAGGAAUCAUCAGUGGGAAUCUGGCAGCCCUCAAGCAGCAGGAUCCCAAUCUAACAGGUUUGCUGACAGCUCUUCCUCCUCCUCCUCCUCUUCCUCCUCCAUGUAUCCUCCCAUUGUGUCUGUAUUGCAGCUGGCAGUCCAUCAUCCCGUUCUGGUCUACUGUCCCAGUCUAGUCUCCUUAGUGCGUGGAUGGAGUCGGGGAAGGGAGGGAAGACAAUCUGUGAAGAGAGAAAGGAGAAGUGGUCGGCAUGAUACGGCAGGAAGCGUGUACAUGUUUGCUUUAGGGAGGCAGAAAUGGUGUAGACAAGUUUAUAGACAUGUUCAUGUAGGAACAGAUGUUCUGAAGUGUUUGUGAAACGUUUGUCCUGGAAGACUCACCUGAUGAAGCAGCAUAUCCACCCAAUAACCC
ensembl:lncRNA